GAAUUUUAAUUUUCUACGUUGACUUUGGUAGUGAGUUUUUGUUUGGUUUCUUAAAUGUGGUAACGGUUCUUGGGAUUCUUAAAUGAAGUUAAGUUCAUUGAUUUGGAUUUCCUGUUGUGUUGGAUUGUAGGUGAUCAAUAUUUUUUAUUUAUGGUGGUUGUUUCAGUUUUGGUACUUGUUUACUGUUCACCAAUAAUUUUCGGCAUCAAGUGUGGGAUUAGCAGAAUGCUGGAUCUUAAUUUUGCUUAUAUUGGAGCUUAAUUAUGUUUUAAUUGGGUGAGGGAUGGUGGAAAGUGGGCUGUGUGCUUUUAUGGGUGAAGGGGGAAAAGGAUUAUACAAUAAUUAGUGAAAAAAAGGAAGAAAAAUCUCAUCUUUAAAUGAAGUGGUCUGCAAUUUCAAGUUUAUGAUGUGGCUAAUCUGUUAUAAUGAAUAUAUAAUGUUUAAAUGCAUGCAAAUGCAAAUUAGGCUGAAAGAGAAAAAGAUGUUAAUAUGGCAUGUCUUAUAAUCUGCUUCUGGUCUUAUUUAUUAUUGCAAAUCAUAAUUAUGUGGUUUAGUUUCUCAUUAUAAUUGAUUUUUCAAAUGUGUAGACAACAGGGAGUAUGGAAUAUGGUUUUUCCGGCUAAGACUAGAAUCUCGUAUUACAUUGUAGACUAUAAUUCUGUGGCUGUAUUCUAAUUCAGCUUUAAUAUCAGCUUCGAUGAUUCUUAUUGUUUAUGAGGCUUGAUUCCUUGGUUCAUAAUUGAAAUAUCUGAUUUUUCAUGUGUUGGCAUCCUAGUCUACCUUGAUAAUUUUGAUCUCUAACAAUGGGGUUCACUAGGAAAUAAAUACAGUGAUUAAUAAUGUUAGCUUCAGUAUUUGAUAGCAUAGUCCAAUCAUGCAUUUACAUAGCGUUGCUGUGACAUUCUAAUUCUUGCUGCUAA
rnacentral:misc_RNA from 1 species